rnacentral:rRNA from 1 species
GAACGAGAAGCCACCUUCGGGUGGUGGACAGUGGGAGACGGGUGAGUAACGCGUGGGAACGUGCCUUUCGGUUCGGGAUAACCCAGGGAAACUUGGGCUAAUACCGGAUACGCCCUCCGGGGGAAAGAUUCAUUGCCGAAAGAUCGGCCCGCGUCGGAUUAGCUAGUUGGUGGGGUAAUAGCCUACCAAGGCGACGAUCCGUAACUGGUCUGAGAGGAUGACCAGCCACACUGGGACUGAGACACGGCCCAGACUCCUACGGGAGGCAGCAGUGGGGAAUAUUGGACAAUGGGCGCAAGCCUGAUCCAGCCAUGCCGCGUGGGUGAAGAAGGCCUUAGGGUUGUAAACCCCUUUCAGCGGGGACGAUAAUGACGGUACCCGCAGAAGAAGUCCCGGCUAACUCCGUG